rnacentral:misc_RNA from 1 species
GUAUUUCGAAUUAAGUAAAUUCGUGAUAACAAAUGUUCAGACAAGUUGACUUGAAGACGUUGGUAAAUAUAGAGGGCUCCACACUUCAAAAAGAGAGAGAGACCCCCCAAACGUUGCACACAAGGUGGAUAUGGAUUGUUUAAAAAGUGCCAUAAAACACUUGUCGUGAAUGAUCCUUCCGCAGGUUCACCUACGGAAA